AAAACGGUCCUUUUCAGGACCAAUUAAUUUAUAGAAAUUAAUAAAUU
rfam:Trachymyrmex cornetzi contig42098, whole genome shotgun sequence.